rnacentral:rRNA from 1 species
GGCAUAUCAAUAAGCGGAGGAAAAGAAACCAACCGGGAUUGCCUCAGUAACGGCGAGUGAAGCGGCAAGAGCUCAAAUUUGAAAUCUGGCCCCCUCGGGGUCCGAGUUGUAAUUUGCAGAGGAUGCUUCGGGUGCGGCCCCCGUCUAAGUGCCCUGGAACGGGCCGUCAUAGAGGGUGAGAAUCCCGUCUGGGACGGGGUGUCCGCGUCCGUGUGAAGCUCCUUCGACGAGUCGAGUUGUUUGGGAAUGCAGCUCUAAAUGGGUGGUAAAUUUCAUCUAAAGCUAAAUACUGGCCGGAGACCGAUAGCGCACAAGUAGAGUGAUCGAAAGAUGAAAAGCACUUUGAAAAGAGAGUUAAAAAGCACGUGAAAUUGUUGAAAGGGAAGCGCUUGCGACCAGACUCGCCCGCGGGGUUCAGCCGGCAUUCGUGCCGGUGUACUUCCCCGCGGGCGGGCCAGCGUCGGUUUGGGCGGCCGGUCAAAGGCCCCCGGAAUGUAGCACCCUUCGGGGUGCCUUAUAGCCGGGGGUGCAAUGCGGCCAGCCUGGACCGAGGAACGCGCUUCGGCACGGACGCUGGCAUAAUGGUCGUAAACGACCCGUCUUGAAACACGGACCAAGGAGUCUAACAUCUACGCGAGUGUUCGGGUGUCAAACCCGUGCGCGCAGUGAAAGCGAACGGAGGUGGGAGCCCCCCCGCGGGGCGCACCAUCGACCGAUCCUGAUGUCUUCGGAUGGAUUUGAGUAAGAGCGUAAAUGUGGGGACCCGAAAGAUGGUGAACUAUGCCUGAAUAGGGCGAAGCCAGAGGAAACUCUGGUGGAGGCUCGCAGCGGUUCUGACGUGCAAAUCGAUCGUCAAAUUUGGGUAUAGGGGCGAAAGACUAAUCGAACCAUCUGGUAGCUUGGUU